GAUGAACGCUGGCGGCGUGCUUAACACAUGCAAGUCGAACGAUGAAGCCCAGCUUGCUGGGUGGAUUAGUGGCGAACGGGUGAGUAACACGUGAGUAACCUGCCCUUAACUCUGGGAUAAGCCUGGGAAACUGGGUCUAAUACCGGAUAGGAGCGCCUACCGCAUGGUGGGUGUUGGAAAGAUUUAUCGGUUUUGGAUGGACUCGCGGCCUAUCAGCUUGUUGGUGAGGUAAUGGCUCACCAAGGCGACGACGGGUAGCCGGCCUGAGAGGGUGACCGGCCACACUGGGACUGAGACACGGCGCAGACUCGUACGGGAGGCAGCAGUGGGGAAUAUUGCACAAUGGGCGAAAGCCUGAUGCAGCGACGCCGCGUGAGGGAUGACGGCCUUCGGGUGGUAAACCUCUUUCAGUAGGGAAGAAGCGAAAGUGACGGUACCUGCAGAAGAAGCACCGGCUAACUACGUG
rnacentral:rRNA from 1 species